rnacentral:rRNA from 1 species
AGCGCAGACGGCGAUGCAAGUCUGGAGUGAAAGCCCGGGGCUCAACCCCGGGACUGCUUUGGAAACUGUAUGGCUAGAGUGCUGGAGAGGCAAGCGGAAUUCCUAGUGUAGCGGUGAAAUGCGUAGAUAUUCGCAAGAACACCAGUGGCGAAGGCGGCUUGCUGGUCCGGAUCUGACGCUGAGGCGCGAAGCGUGGGAGCAAACA